rnacentral:rRNA from 1 species
AUUGAACGCUGGCGGCAGGCCUAACACAUGCAAGUCGAACGAUUGGCGGGCGGGUGAGUAAUGUCUGGGAAACUGCCUGAUGGGGGGGGAUACCUACUGGAAACGGUAGCUAAUCCCGCAUACCAUCGGAUGUUCCCAGAUGGGAUUAGCUGGUAGGUGGGGUAAAGGCUCACCUUGGCGACGAGCCCUAGCUGGUCUGAGAGGAUGACCACCCACACUGGAACUGGUAAACGGUCAAGCCCCCGACGGGAGGCAGCAGUGGGGAAGAUUGGACAAUGGUGGCAAGCCUGCUGAAGCCAGGCCGCGUAGAGGAAGAAGGCCUGCGGGUUGUAAGGUACUUUCAGCGGGGAGGCGGUACCCGCAGAAGAAGCACCGGCUAACUCCGUGCCAGCAGCCGCGGUAAUAC